rnacentral:rRNA from 1 species
UACGAAGGGGGCUAGCGUUGCUCGGAAUCACUGGGCGUAAAGGGCGCGUAGGCGGAUCUUUAAGUCAGGGGUGAAAGCCUGAGGCUCAACCUCAGAAUUGCCUUUGAUACUGAAGAUCUUGAGUCCGGAAGAGGUAAGUGGAGCUGCGAGUGUAGAGGUGAAAUUCGUAGAUAUUCGCAAGAACACCAGUGGCGAAGGCGGCUUACUGGUCCGGUUCUGACGCUGAGGCGCGAAAGCGUGGGGAGCAAACAGG